rnacentral:rRNA from 1 species
UACGUAGGGACCAAGCGUUGUUCGGAUUUACUGGGCGUAAAGGGCGCGUAGGCGGCGUGGUAAGUCACUUGUGAAAUCUCCGAGCUUAACUCGGAACGGUCAAGUGAUACUGCUGUGCUAGAGUACAGAAGGGGCAAUCGGAAUUCUUGGUGUAGCGGUGAAAUGCGUAGAUAUCAAGAGGAACACCUGAGGUGAAGACGGGUUGCUGGGCUGAUACUGACGCUGAGGCGCGAAAGCUAGGGUAGCAAACAGG